rnacentral:rRNA from 1 species
GACGUAGGGCGCGAGCGUUGUCCGGAUUUAUUGGGCGUAAAGAGCUCGUAGGCGGCUUGUCGCGUCGUCCGUGAAAACCUGCAGCUCAACUGCAGGCUUGCGGGCGAUACGGGCAGGCUAGAGUUCGGUAGGGGAGACUGGAAUUCCUGGUGUAGCGGUGAAAUGCGUAGAUAUCUGGAGGAAUACCGGUGGCGAAGGCGGCAUCCUGGACCAAUACUGACGCUGAGGCGCGAAAGCUAGGGGAGCAAACGGG